GGCUAAGGGAUUGGCAGAAAUAGUCCCUUCUCUUAUACAAAGUUGUCAAAUGUGGUAAUUUUCAAAAUUUGUUGGAGUCGGAUGGUCAAUGGUGGUCGUCGCCGGACAGUCUUACUCAUAGAUACGUGUCCGCUUCUUCUUCUCCACCGUUUUGUUCUCCAAUCAAAAUGUUACAGAUUAAUCUCUCUCUCGAUCAAAUUGUUCACUUCUAACCGCUUUGCAAUUAGAGCAUCGUCCCUCUUUCCUUUUUUUUCUCUAUCUCCACCCAAUUGUUCACUUCUACAUGUUCCUAAUUUUCCAGAGACCACCAACGGUGGCGCUUCUCUGAAGUUACCUUUUGACUGAUGUGUUCAAUCAGUCGGAAGGAAAGGGAACCAGAGGCCACCUCCUUGCCGCCGAUUGUGGCUGCACUGGAGAAAUCGACUGAUAUGGUCGACUUCUACUACUAUUGGAAGUCUCGAAGCCGGUGCCUCCAUCGACCGCUACUGCAUCUUCGUUCCAUCCCCGGACCAACAACGACAACACCACUUUUCUCAGCAAACGAACCCUAAAUUAGUACUAUACGUGUUCCUUUCAUCCGUUCUUCUCCUUCUAUGUGUUCGCCUCCUGUAAAUUCCCUUCACUUGACCCCGAGCUACGUGCUAUGUUCAUGUCAUUCCCACUUGCUCCACUAUUUAUCAUUCCACGUUUCCUCCACCGCUUGAAUUCUCUCUGAAUCUAUCAUGGUCAACACCUCCAAAUCCUUCCACAUUGGCUCUCUGAAAUACCCCCACCUUACCGUCUCCACCUCUUAAGCCUCCAUCUAACCCUUUCCAUUACGAUUCCUAACCCUCGGAUUCCUCUCUUCUCCGGUUACCACAGAUCGACAGCCGCUAACACCUCCGGAGAGGCUUCUUCGACCUCUAUAAUUUAAUCUCUCUUGUGCUAUUUGAUCUAAGAAUUUCUUUUUCCCGUCGCUUAGGGCUUCUUUGGUGCUAAUUCAGCCAUCAAUUUCGCUUUUUAUUCUUCUCCCUGCGAGGUUCCACCCGAACCUUCCACCUUUACAAACAAGGGGCCCUACCGAUCAUCUCCAGUGAGGUCGGUAACUCCGUCACGGCUGUCGCUCAUCGUCUCCAUACAUCAACAACAAUUGAUUUGAAUAUUUCAAUUGCUAACUGUCAGUAGGAGUCGAUGGUCACGUGGCAUGUGAACAAAACCACCAAAAGGAAACUCUACAUGAUUCCUGAUUUCUUCAUUCUCUCUGUUUCAGAUCCUUUUAAUCAGAUCUCGAAGACGCGUAGAGGACAAGGUAAUACGUUGCAAAAAUGGUAAGAGGGGGACAUGGCACCACCAAAAACAGAAGAAAAAUGAAAAGGAAAAUCAGAUGUUUCAGAUUUUGAUGCGUACAAUUGUUGUGUCUGUUCCUGCAACCUGCCUCCUUCGUCCCUCUCCUUCUUCCAUCUGUUAUCUCUGAUAUGCUAAUACAAUUAGGUAAAUAAUGAUCAUAGCCCUUCUAUAUGUAAAUAAUACAAGGUAUGAUUUCUAAAAUUUGUUAAAUUUUAAUGCACUCUAUAUGAAUAUGAGAAAAUGACUACUUUACCCUUCUGUAUAUGUAUAUUUGGUUGAUUCUAAACAUGCAUUGUCGUUCAAUUUGUUUUUUCUGAAAUUGGUUACUUUUCAAAAUUUUAGUUGCUUCUUCUUUCUUAUGUUUCUCAACCAAUCGCUUCAAACUCCAAGGUAAGAUCUUAAUUCUCUACAAGCUGAGAUAAAUUGAUUAAACUCACCAAAAGAAAAAACAAAUUGAGAUGCAACUGAUUAAGGAUUGAAUAAACACAAAAGGAUGCUUAAUUCUCUGAUUGUUAAUUAAGAAUUUGGUAAGCAUCAAUUCUUAAUCAGUCAUCACCAUGUGAUUAUCUAUUUGAUCAACAGGCGGGGGUAAAACUGUCAUCUUUAAAGAAUUAAAUAAUUGGAAAAACAGUUCUAUAAUUGAAGGAAUUAAAAAUAUUUCGCUAUAAUAAACAAAUAAAUGGAAGUACGUUACCAUUUAUGUUAAUGUAACACAAAUGCAUAAAAUUUAAAGAAAGAAAGACAUUCAACUAGAUGAGUUCCUUCAACAAUAUGGUGCACAUAAACUUGUAAGUCAAUUCAUUUAAUUCAAAAAGUUAUCUGAACUUUUAUUUUUAUAUUAUUUGAUUCAGAAAGUUAUGCUAUCUUUCUACAUGUAGGUUCUAAUUUCUGGAUUGGCUGUUACUUGGGCUGCAAGAAAAACCUGGACUCCUGAACAGCUAUUACUCAAAUAUGGAACUACCCCUUUCAGCAUCUGCCAAAGAAGUGCUAAAAAACUAUCCAUGAAUUUUAAGGUUUAUGUGUCCUACAUGCAAGAACAACAUGCUGCUAUAUUUGCUUUAAUGGUAACACGUGUAAAUUAAGUAGUUUCAUACAUCAUCUUGCUUUAUUUUCUUGGAAGAUUAUGAAGUUACCAUUAUGGGAGAUAAAGGUUCAUGCCAUAAUCCAAUAACCUAUAUGUGACUUUGUUCUUAUGUAACAUAGAAAAAUGACUUCAGGUACUUCUGUGUUGUUUAUUGUAAGCAUGCUUAUAUUUCAUUUUAACUUCUAAAAGAACUUUACUUUUGAAUAGA